rnacentral:rRNA from 1 species
GAUGAACGCUAGCGGGAGGCUUAACACAUGCAAGUCGUGGGGCAGCACGGGGUAGCAAUAUCCUGACGGCGACCGGCAGACGGGUGAGGAACGCGUAUGUAACCUACCCUGUACAGGGGGAUAACCCGGAGAAAUUCGGACUAAUAUCCCAUAGAAAUAUUGAAGGGCAGCUUUUGAUAUUUAAAGUUCCGACGGUACGGGAUGGGCAUGCGUAACAUUAGCUAGUUGGUAAGGUAACGGCUUACCAAGGCUUUGAUGUUUAGGGGUCCUGAGAGGGUGGUCCCCCACACUGGUACUGAGACACGGACCAGACUCCUACGGGAGGCAGCAGUGAGGAAUAUUGGUCAAUGGGCGCAAGCCUGAACCAGCCAUCCCGCGUGAAGGAAGACUGCCCUAUGGGUUGUAAACUUCUUUUCCAGGGGAACAAAAUCUCGAACGAGUUCGGGACUGAAGGUACCCUGGGAAUAAGCAUCGGCUAACUCCGUGCCAGCCGCCGCCGUAACAC